rnacentral:sRNA from 1 species
UAGAUUUGAAUAAGAAGAAUGGUGGUGGCUGGACCCCGCUGAUGUAUGCCUCCUACAUUGGCCACGACACAAUCGUGCACCUGCUGCUUGAGGCGGGGGUGAGUGUGAAUGUGCCGACCCCAGAAGGGCAGACUCCACUGAUGCUGGCCUCCAGCUGUGGCAACGAGAGCAUCGCCUACUUUCUUCUCCAGCAUGGCCGCCUGGAGGGCGCCCGCCCCACGCAGAGGAGAUGAGGCCGUAACGCACGUUCUGUGUUCUCUUGAAGCAAGGUGCAGAGCUAGAAAUGAAAGACAUCCAGGGCUGGACAGCCCUCUUCCACUGUACCAGCGCCGGACACCAGCACAUGGUCAGGUUCCUCUUGGACAGUGGAGCCAAUGCCAACGUGAGGGAGCCGAUAUAUGGAUUUACUCCUUUGAUGGAAGCAGCUGCGGCUGGCCAUGAGAUAAUCGUGCAGUAUUUUCUGAAUCACGGAGUCAAGCUGGACGCGACAGACCACCGUGGAGCCACAGCCCGGAUGCUGGCCAAGCAGUACGGACACAUGAAGAUCGUGGCCUUGAUGGACACUCACUCGCCCUCUCUGCCCAAGAGCCUCUAUCGGAGCCCAGAAAAGUACGAAGAUCUGAGCUCUUCUGACGAGUCCUGCCCUGCUCCUCAGAGACAGAGGCCGUGCCGGAAGAAGGGUGUCAGCAUCCACGAGGGACCGCGAGCCCUGGCCAGGAUCACAGGCAUUGGCCUGGGUGGCAGAGUCCCACGGCCUCGCUAUGAGCAGGCUCCUCCCCGUGGCUAUGUCACCUUCAACAGCAGUGGUGAGAACCCCCUGGAAGAAGAGGGCCUCUGCUGUCGGGACGUCACCUCCCCCAUCAAUGAGCGGGACGUGGAGAGCAGCAGCAGCAGCAGCAGCCGGGGUACGUGCACCCCCACCCCUGUCCAGCCCGAGGCUCAGGCAGGUCCUGGAGCUCCUGUGUGCCCAUCCCCACUUAUCCCCUGGGACUGGCGCUGGGACACAGCCAUCCAGCAGAGGACAGGAAAGGGGGAGGUGUGGACGGCCCUGGUUCUUGUGAGGAAUGGGAGAAGCUUCUGGUCCAGCAUCCCCGUGCAGCUUAAGGGAGCCAUUCCACAGCAACAGGUUUAGCUCCUUGCUUGGGAGCCCCCUGAGGCUUUCAGGACAGGCUCCAGUAGGAAUGUCUGUUAUAACUGCACCUCCAUGCAGCAGCUGUUUCCAUAGUGCCCACCGUGUGCCAAGCACUGCUCCGGGUGCUUGGGAUUUAUCAGUGAACAAAAAAGACAGAAGCCCUGCCCGUCUGUAUAGAGGGGAGGGUUUAAGACAGGCAGGAAGUUUGAAAUAUAAGGAAGCAACCGCUACAGGCCCCAAGGAGUGCCCUGGUGGAGGCGGCUCAGCCCAGGGCACGCCCAUGCGCAGCACCUCGGUGAGGCCUGCAGGCGGAUGCCCUGUCUUCCCGCCCUCAGAGGAACAUGCUUUCUGUGCCAACCUGGGGCCCGUCCAGAGCAGCAGCAGCAGUGAGGGCCUGGCCAGAGCCCAGGGGCUCAGCAGCGAAGCUUCUGUGGAGAGCAACGAGGACUCGGAUCACGCCUGUAAAAGCUCAGCUAGCAAACAAGCUAAAAGUUACAUGAAGACCAAGAAUCCUGACAGCCAGUGGCCUCCCCGCACUGCACCUGACAGGGAAGGCUUUCUCGAUGAGUCCAGCCCCCAGACUCAGAGGGCCCCUUACUCAGGACCCCAGGACCUGGCCACACUGCUGGAGCAGAUCGGGUGUCUGAAGUACCUGCAGGUGUUUGAGGAGCAGGACGUGGACCUCCGCAUCUUUCUGACCCUCACUGAGAGCGACCUGAAGGAAAUCGGCAUCACGCUGUUUGGGCCCAAGAGGAAGAUGACGUCCGCCAUUGCCCGCUGGCACAGCAGUGCCCGCCCGCCCGGGGAUGCCCUGGAGCUGGCCUACGCUGACCGGCUGGAGGCUGAGAUGCAGGAGCUCGCCAUCCAGCUGCACAAACGCUGCGAGGAGGUAGAGGCCACGCGGGGCCAGGUGUGCCAGGAGCAGGAGCUGCGCGCCGUGGUGGAGAGCUGCCUGCUGGAGCAGGACCGCGCCCGCGAGGACCUCCAGGCCCGGCUGCAGGAGACGUGGGCCCUGACCCGGGAUGCUGCCCUCAUCCUGGACCAGCUGCGAGCCUGUCAAGCUGAGCUGUCAGCUCGAAUGAGGCGGGACCAGCCCCCUGGUGCAGCCACUCUGGGCCUAGCCCUCCCCCCAGCUGACUCCAAGGGCUGGCAAGCGUCCCUGCAGGCCAUGAGCCUCCCCGAGCUCUCGGGAGCCCUGGAGGACCGUGUCCGUGAGAUGGGGCAAGCACUGUGCUUAGUGACCCAGAGCCUGGAGAAGCUGCAGGUGCUGAACGGGAAGAAGUGGCGGGAGCCCUAGCCCGCAAGCCGAAUCUGACGUUGGGUGAUUGGUCCACCCUGAAGCUGUGUGCCAGGGAGUGAGGAGGACAGUGAGCAGGCAGCUGCCAUGUGCAGCCCAGGCCCAGUGGGGGCCAGAGGAUCAGGCCCCGGGAGCAGCCGGCAGACAGAGGCAAGAUGGGGGCUGCGGCCCUGGCUCGGCAGCUCGGGCCAGCACUGAGGCAGGAUGAGGGCCUCACCCAGAACCUCGUGGUGAGGCCCAGAGUUCACGGGCUGCCCUGGCCCAGACCAGGCAGGGCUCUCGGGGGAAAGUGUAUCCCUAUACACGCACAGGUGCCAGCUGAGGUGUGACCUUAGGAGUGAAGACUGGGGCACCUGGAAAAUGCCAUUUGUUGGAAAAUAAAAUUGAAGAACAGCU